CCUACGGGGGGCAGCAGUGGGGAAUAUUGCGCAAUGGGCGAAAGCCUGACGCAGCGACGCCGCGUGAGGGAUGAAGGUCUUCGGAUCGUAAACCUCUGUCAGCAGGGAAGAACGGUCACUGUGCUAAUCAGCAGUGACUUGACGGUACCUGCAAAGGAAGCACCGGCUAACUCCGUGCCAGCAGCCGCGGUAAUACGGAGGGUGCGAGCGUUAAUCGGAAUUACUGGGCGUAAAGCGCUCGUAGGCGGUAUGUCAAGUCAGGGGUGAAAUCCCCGAGCUCAACGUGGGAACUGCCUUUGAAACUGGCAAACUGGAGUGUGUGAGAGGAGAGUGGAAUUCCAGGUGUAGGAGUGAAAUCCGUAGAGAUCUGGAGGAACAUCAGUGGCGAAGGCGACUAUCUGGCACAUAACUGACGCUGAUGAGCGAAAGCGUGGGUAGCAAACAGGAUUAGAUACCCUUGUAGUC
rnacentral:rRNA from 1 species